AUGUUGGCCGGGCGACGGUUGUCCCGGUUUAAGCGUGUAGGCUGGUUUUCCAGGCAAAUCCGGAAAACUAAGGCUGAGGCGUGAUGACGAGGCACUACGGUGCUGAAGCAACAAAUGCCCUGCUUCCAGGAAAAGCCUCUAAGCAUCAGGUAACAUCAAAUCGUACCCCAAACCGACACAGGUGGUCAGGUAGAGAAUACCAAGGCGCUUGAGAGAACUCGGGUGAAGGAACUAGGCAAAAUGGUGCCGUAACUUCGGGAGAAGGCACGCUGAUAUGUAGGUGAAGUCCCUCGCGGAUGGAGCUGAAAUCAGUCGAAGAUACCAGCUGGCUGCAACUGUUUAUUAAAAACACAGCACUGUGCAAACACGAAAGUGGACGUAUACGGUGUGACGCCUGCCCGGUGCCGGAAGGUUAAUUGAUGGGGUCAGCGCAAGCGAAGCUCUUGAUCGAAGCCCCGGUAAACGGCGGCCGUAACUAUAACGGUCCUAAGGUAGCGAAAUUCCUUGUCGGGUAAGUUCCGACCUGCACGAAUGGCGUAAUGAUGGCCAGGCUGUCUCCACCCGAGACUCAGUGAAAUUGAACUCGCUGUGAAGAUGCAGUGUACCCGCGGCAAGACGGAAAGACCCCGUGAACCUUUACUAUAGCUUGACACUGAACAUUGAGCCUUGAUGUGUAGGAUAGGUGGGAGGCUUUGAAGUGUGGACGCCAGUCUGCAUGGAGCCGACCUUGAAAUACCACCCUUUAAUGUUUGAUGUUCUAACGUUGACCCGUAAUCCGGGUUGCGGACAGUGUCUGGUGGGUAGUUUGACUGGGGCGGUCUCCUCCUAAAGAGUAACGGAGGAGCACGAAGGUUGGCUAAUCCUGGUCGGACAUCAGGAGGUUAGUGCAAUGGCAUAAGCCAGCUUGACUGCGAGCGUGACGGCGCGAGCAGGUGCGAAAGCAGGUCAUAGUGAUCCGGUGGUUCUGAAUGGAAGGGCCAUCGCUCAACGGAUAAAAGGUACUCCGGGGAUAACAGGCUGAUACCGCCCAAGAGUUCAUAUCGACGGCGGUGUUUGGCACCUCGAUGUCGGCUCAUCACAUCCUGGGGCUGAAGUAGGUCCCAAGGGUAUGGCUGUUCGCCAUUUAAAGUGGUACGCGAGCUGGGUUUAGAACGUCGUGAGACAGUUCGGUCCCUAUCUGCCGUGGGCGCUGGAGAACUGAGGGGGGCUGCUCCUAGUACGAGAGGACCGGAGUGGACGCAUCACUGGUGUUCGGGUUGUCAUGCCAAU
rnacentral:rRNA from 1 species